rnacentral:rRNA from 1 species
AGGACGAACGCUGGCGGCGUGCUUAACACAUGCAAGUCGAACGAGGUUCAAGCGUUAGCAAUAACGUGGAAAACCUAGUGGCGAACGGGUGAGUAACACGUGAGGAACCUACCCCGGACUCAGGGAUAACGGCUGGAAACGGCUGCUAAUACCUGAUGCCGUCGGAGCAUCACAUGGUGCACUGACGAAAGAAUCUCGGUUCGGGAGGGCCUCGCGGCCUAUCAGCUUGUUGGUGGGUAACGGCCUACCAAGGCAUCGACGGGUAGCUGGUCUGAGAGGAUGAUCAGCCACACUGGGACUGAGACACGGCCCAGACUCCUACGGGAGGCAGCAGUGGGGAAUCUUGCGCAAUGGGCGAAAGCCUGACGCAGCAACGCCGCGUGCGGGAGAAGGCCCUAGGGUUGUAAACCGCUUUCAGUAGGAACGAAAAUGACGGUACCUGCAGAAGAAGGUGCGGCCAACUACGUGCCAGCAGCCGCGGU